rnacentral:rRNA from 1 species
GUACACGCUGUGACUAGCAUAUCAAUAAGCGGAGGAAAAGUAACUAACAAGGAUUCCCUUAGUAACGGCGAGUGAAGCGGGAAGAGCUCAAAUUUGAAAUCUUGCAAGGUUUACCUUUACGAAUUGUAGUUUAAAGAAGUGUUUUCUGCUAAGAUUUGGUAAUAAGUUCUUUGGAAUAGGACAUCACAGAGGGUGAGAAUCCCGUCUAUGAUUGCGAUUUGUAGCUUUGUGAUACACUUUCAAAGAGUCGGGUUGUUUGGGAAUGCAGCCCAAAACGGGAGGUAAAUUUCUUCUAAGGCUAAAUAUUGGCGAGAGACCGAUAGCGAACAAGUACCGUGAGGGAAAGAUGAAAAGAACUUUGAAAAGAGAGUUAAACAGUAUGUGAAAUUGUCAAAAGGGAAGCGUUUGACACCAGUGUUGUUUUCUCGAAAAUCAAUUAAAAAUGGCUCGAUUUUGUAUUGCUUGAGACCUUAAAAGCUCACUGUACAUUUUUCGUGUCUUUUUUAAUGCACUUUUCGUUUAACAAGUCAACAUCAGUUUCUUUUGUUGUAAAAGGGUCAUUGGAAGGUGGCUUUCUUUUCGGAGAAAGUGUUUAUAGCCUUUGGCCUCUGCAAUCGGAGAGACUGAGGUCUGCAGCGUAGACUCUUCGGGGUUAGAUACAUUUGUGCUAAGUUAUAGCUUUUUAUAGACAACUUGUUGACUAUAAUUAGUCUUGUAGCUUACUCGCUUAUGCUAUUUUACCUACGCUUAGGAUGUUGAGUAGCGACAUACGCAC